rnacentral:rRNA from 1 species
UACGAAGGGGGCUAGCGUUGCUCGGAAUCACUGGGCGUAAAGGGUGCGUAGGCGGGUCUUUAAGUCAGGGGUGAAAUCCUGGAGCUCAACUCCAGAACUGCCUUUGAUACUGAGGAUCUUGAGUUCGGGAGAGGUGAGUGGAACUGCGAGUGUAGAGGUGAAAUUCGUAGAUAUUCGCAAGAACACCAGUGGCGAAGGCGGCUCACUGGACCGGUACUGACGCUGAUGCGCGAAAGCGUGGGGAGCAAACGGG